UGGGGAAUUUUGGACAAUGGGCGAAAGCCUGAUCCAGCAAUGCCGCGUGUGUGAAGAAGGCCUUCGGGUUGUAAAGCACUUUUGUCCGGAAAGAAAUCCUUGGCUCUAAUACAGUCGGGGGAUGACGGUACCGGAAGAAUAAGCACCGGCUAACUACGUGCCAGCAGCCGCGGUAAUACGUAGGGUGCAAGCGUUAAUCGGAAUUACUGGGCGUAAAGCGUGCGCAGGCGGUUUGCUAAGACCGAUGUGAAAUCCCCGGGCUCAACCUGGGAACUGCAUUGGUGACUGGCAGGCUAGAGUAUGGCAGAGGGGGGUAGAAUUCCACGUGUAGCAGUGAAAUGCGUAGAGAUGUGGAGGAAUACCGAUGGCGAAGGCAGCCCCCUGGGCCAAUACUGACGCUCAUGCACGAAAGCGUGGGGAGCAAACGGGAUUAGAUACCCUGGUAGUCCACGCCCUAAAGCGAUGUCAACUAGUUGUUGGGGGAUUCAUUUCCUUAGUAACGUAGCUAACGCGUGAAGUUGACCGCCUGGGGGAGUACGUCGCAAGAUUAAAACUCAAAUGAAUUGACGGGGUCAUAGCUGUUUCCUG
rnacentral:rRNA from 1 species